CACACACACACACACACACACAUACAACUCUCUCCUGGACGCUAUAGGAGACAGUCUUACAGGACAUUUCUACAAUUCAAACUACAAAUACGACCGCAUCGUGCUUCGUCAGCCUAGACACAGGGAGGACACGCCACCGUCUAAAAAUACAUAAAGCCCGCGGACCUGGUUGUUGGACACCCGGGGGAAGAGAGCAUACAAGCUGAACUUGAGACAGGGCAAGUGAGGACAGGAGUGAAUGUGGAACAACAUGGCUGUCGAUACUGCAGUCCAGAGAGGAUAUGUGCACAGCCAUGGAGGGAUCAAGCACCGUAAACGACGGAGGUUGCAACGCUUUACCCCGGAUAGCUGAUGGCCGUGGUGUGUGCCAGUUCCCUCAAAGUAUUAGUGGGCUCAUUAUUUUUGGAAUUAAAUAACGUUCCUGCUCAGACGUCAAUUUCAAGGUCGAGGAAACCUGAGAGGACAAGAGCUGACGCAGGAGACAGACCUGAAGCUGCCGGAGAGGAGGUGACCUGUCAACAAUGAAUGACUUUUAUGAAGUCAAUCGACAGCAUUCUUUUGUCAUUUUACCACACACUGUUAGUUAACUCUGCUCUUCUCUCACAUGAGAUCGCAUGUUCUGUAAAAAUAGAAAAAAAUG